UACGGAGGGUGCGAGCGUUGUCCGGAAUCACUGGGCGUAAAGGGCGCGUAGGUGGCGUCGCAAGUCAACGGUGAAAGCUCGACGCUCAACGUCGAGUCGGCCGUCGAUACUGCUGGGCUCGAGCACUGUAGAGGCAGAUGGAAUUCCGGGUGUAGCGGUGGAAUGCGUAGAGAUCCGGAAGAACACCGGUGGCGAAGGCGGUCUGCUGGGCAGUAGCUGACACUGAGGAGCGAAAGCGUGGGGAGCGAACAGG
rnacentral:rRNA from 1 species